CAUCGGACAUUUUCUGAACCUGUUCUGGGCCCCACAGGGCAGGCAUGAGUAUCUACAGACUGCACUGGAGGGUUAUACUGGUCCUUUUCUUCCUUUUCAAGCCCUAGAAGAGGAGUCUUCUGUGGCACGCAUCUUGUAGGAGUACUGAGAACUCCGAAGAGCCCAGGCAUGCGCAGCACCUGCCAUUCUCAGAUGAGGCAACGCAUCUUCCCACAAGAUGUCACCUGUGGCCACCUCCCAAAAAAGCCUCAUUGUCCUUAUCAGCUUUAGAGGGUUGUGAGGAGGGCUGAAUGAGGUGACAUAUGACAGUCAUUAGUCCCAUCCAUACCUGGCUCACCACAUGUGAUGGAAGGACAUGUGACAUGCAGACUCUGAAGAUCCCAGGACCCAUCACAUGACGUCCCAGACAGACAGAACUCCAAGCUCCAUUGGAAGAGGAGUGGACCCGUGUCUCCAGGACUUACCUGUGCCACUGUUUGGUCGGCUGAUUUUGCUGGAAGUCUGUGAAAAGACACUAAGCGCAUGGGAGUCUAGCCUUUAACAGCUGAGCCGUCUCUCCAGCCCCAGUGAUUCUUUGAGAAGAUUUAUUAUUAUUGUUAUUAUUAUUAUUGUUAUUAUUAUUAUCUAGCACAGACUGUGGGUCUGGGAUCACUCGAGACUCGGGGAGUUUAAUAAGGACGCCGACAAAAAGUCAUUGAAGGUCUGAGCAUGGGCAGUAGGGUCAUCAGGCAACAAAGUUUUGGCAUUUCUGCUAAUGUAUCGGCUCCCAUGUCCCCAGUCUCAGCUGGCUUCUCCUGCAUCCUCUUGCCUACCCCAUGUACUCACAUGGAUGGUGAGACUCAACACCUUUCUCCGAAAUCCACUAAUAGUCAUUCUGUUAUACAAGACUUUGCUAGUACAAAGGGCUUUGCCGGUAUGACCAAUUUUCCCGAAGAUUUAGGGACUGCAAAUACAUUACUUUUCAACGAAUCAAUCCUUGCUCUUCUUCAAGAGUCUGUGCCUGUCAAGUGUCUUAGCAGAGGUCUCCCUCCCACUGUAUGUAGCUCCACUUCUGGAACCCUGUCCCUGCAUGGUAAAUAAGAUAGUUUGAGCUGUUAGUAGCCUUUGUCCUUCUUGGUCACAGCUAAAAUCACAUGGAUGCAGUCUGAUUUUCCUGCUACCAUGUAAGAGCCUUGGUAGGACCCAUCAAGAAUGUUUUAGAAACAGGAAUGAGAUCUUCCAGCCACUACCAUCAUAUAUUAUUACCUGCAUAUUCAAGAGGAAAGGAAGAUAGUUAAUUUUAUUUCAUGUUGCACGGGAUGCUAAAUAAUAGCAGAAUAAUAACCAAAUACCUAGUUUGGAAAACUGAUGAUUGGCAUGAGCUUUUGAGGCAGAUAAAAUGGCUUUGAACCUUUA